UACGUAGGGUGCAAGCGUUAAUCGGCAUUACUGGGCGUAAAGCGUGCGCAGGCGGUGAUGUAAGACAGGUGUGAAAUCCCCGGGCUUAACCUGGGAACUGCAUUUGUGACUGCAUCGCUGGAGUGCGGCAGAGGGGGAUGGAAUUCCGCGUGUAGCAGUGAAAUGCGUAGAUAUACGGAGGAACACCGAUGGCGAAGGCAAUCCCCUGGGCCUGCACUGACGCUCAUGCACGAAAGCGUGGGGAGCAAACAGG
rnacentral:rRNA from 1 species